rnacentral:tRNA from 1 species
GCAUGGAUGGUUCAGUGGUAGAAUUCUCGCCUGCCAUGCUGGAGGACUGGGUUUGAUUCCAGGCCCAUGCA